AGGGGAACCCGGUGGGAAUCCGGGACUGUCCCGCAACGGUGUACGCGCGCACCCGCCCGCACUUGUUGACGGGCCGCCGUGCGCCCGGAAGUCCGAGGACCU
rnacentral:ncRNA from 1 species